rnacentral:rRNA from 1 species
UACGUAGGGGGCAAGCGUUGCCCGGAAUUAUUGGGCGUAAAGAGCUCGUAGGCGGCUUGUCGCGUCUGCUGUGAAAACUCGGGGCUUAACCCCGGGCCUGCAGUGGGUACGGGCAGACUAGAGUGCGGUAGGGGAGACUGGAAUUCCUGGUGUAGCGGUGAAAUGCGCAGAUAUCAGGAGGAACACCGGUGGCGAAGGCGGGUCUCUGGGCCGAUACUGACGCUGAGGAGCGAAAGCGUGGGGAGCGAACAGG